rnacentral:rRNA from 1 species
CACGGGGGGUGCAAGCGUUGUUCGGAAUCACUGGGCGUAAAGGGCGUGCAGGCGGUCAGGUAAGUGAGACGUGAAAUGCCCCGGCUUACCCGGGGACCUGCGUCUCAUACUGCUUGGCUUGAGUACGGGAGAGGGUGUGGGAAUUCCUGGUGUAGCGGUGAAAUGCGUAGAUAUCAGGAGGAACACCGGUGGCGAAGGCGCACCCCUGGCCCGAAACUGACGCUGAGGCGCGAAAGCUAGGGGAGCAAACGGG